ACCCUCUGGUUCCCUUUCCCAUCGGAUCUUGACACUGGUCUUGGUGGUCGUAAAGGAGGAAGAGUAUGCGGAUACUGGCCUCACAGCAAUGUACUCUGGUAUAGAGCACUGGCCAGGUUCAAACAUAU
ensembl:snoRNA